rnacentral:rRNA from 1 species
GGGAAAAGCUCAAAUUUAAAAUCUGGUACCUUCGGUGCCCGAGUUGUAAUCUAGAGAAGUGUUUUCUGCCUUGGACCACGCAUAAAUUCCCUGGAAUGGGGUGUCAUAGAGGGUGAGAAUCCCGUUUGUGGUGUGGACUACCUUGGCUCUGUGAUACACUCUCAAC